rnacentral:miRNA from 1 species
AAAGUUUAAGAUCCUUGAAGUU